rnacentral:rRNA from 1 species
CAGUAGCCGCGGUAAUACGUAGGUCCCGAGCGUUGUCCGGAUUUAUUGGGCGUAAAGCGAGCGCAGGCGGUUAGAUAAGUCUGAAGUUAAAGGCUGUGGCUUAACCAUAGUACGCUUUGGAAACUGUUUAACUUGAGUGCAAGAGGGGAGAGUGGAAUUCCAUGUGUAGCGGUGAAAUGCGUAGAUAUAUGGAGGAACGCCGGUGGCGAAAGCGGCUCUCUGGCUUGUAACUGACGCUGAGGCUCGAAAGCGUGGGGAGCAAACAGGAUUAGAGACCCGCGUAGUCCCUGUCUCUUAUACA